AAUUUCACUAUGAGCACGGCAAAGUACAAUAAUUACAAGUUAUAAGAUUUACUUGAGCACUUCUCUUUUGCACAAAAUAUACUUUGAGUAAGAAAAAAAAACUCCAUAAAUAUCGGUGAUAAAUCGCUAAUAAAAAUGAAAUUCUACAGAUAAGAAGAGUUAGAGAAGGAAGAAGGAGGUUGAGUCACGUUCAUAUGAAUUGUCGACCGGUUUAAAUUGAAAUUUUGGUCCGUGCUCUUCUUAAGCAUAAAAAGAAAGGAUAAAAACGUUAGAUUUACUCUUAUCUUGCACUUAACAAAAUAGGAGAAAGUCUUUCUAAAGAAGCAAAAGAAUCCAGGAGGGAGCGGUAAAAAAACUUGAAGACAGAAGAAGUAAAAAUAAAAGGAAUGCCCUUAAGUAUGGAUCCUAUUGAAGUUUUACAUCCAAAUACACCAGAUCUCUCAGAAAAUGACAGUAGACCAGAAUCUGGAAAUUCAGUUUGCAGUUCGAAUUUUCAACCAGGACUUAAUGCAAUAUCAUUGGAUAUGGAUAAAACUUCCAAAAAUAAAAAGAAGCGCGUUUGGCAAACGUUAAAGAAUAAAGGAAAAAGCCUGCAGUCUGCAAAAGAUUUCCUCAAAGACAAGAUUAAAUUAAAAAGAAAUAAGAAUCGUGUCCAGGAAAUUUCAAUACAACAGGAGGAUGACAAUGAUAAAUGGUCAACGAGAGUUAUUCGUCGACCAAAAUCUGAACCAAAUUUCUUUUCUUCGCGAUCUCAGCCUGGAAAACUUAAGAAGGAAGAUUCACUUUACGUUUGUGACAUUGACGAGAAUGAAUGACAAUUCCAAAUUUAGAAAAAAUUUAAUUAGCAGUUCUUCCCUUUCAAAAGAAGGGAAUAUCGAAAAUUUUUGCUAUUUAAGCAUUUUAUAUAUACAGUAUAUAUAAAUAUAUAUUUUUACAAAAUAGUUAAAAUACGGCGAUGUUAUUUAAUAAAUAGGAAAAAUAAGUUCGUUUUGUUUGAUUAAAAAAUAAAAGAUAAUUAUAUUACUUUUAGUGAUUAGAUAUAGAAUUAGGAUAACUGUAUGAAUCAUACAGUAAUCCAGAUGGCGUUGGUUGUUUAUCCUAUUCGAACCUAUCGCAUCUUGUUAAAAAAAAAAGAAAAAUCGAAAAUGAACUAAUAAAAAAGAUGAAAAACAAACCGAAAUUUUCCUAGAAAACCAGACUUUCUCAUGAGUUAUAACG
rnacentral:misc_RNA from 1 species